rnacentral:lncRNA from 1 species
GACCUGCUGCGUAAGAGCCAGUGGGCUCGCUUCCCCAUGGUUUCUGAAGGAUGAAAACCGGGUUUCCUGCCCCGUCAUCUGGUCAGCAUACUUGGCUGUGCUGGCAGCCCUUGGCAACACCCAGAUGAGAUGUAAGUGGGGGAGCAGCUGAUUUCCAGGGAAAAAGCCGGAGGAAUCAACUCAGGGGAACUGCAUCUUACCUGCCGCUGGGGAAAGGCGGGAACGCGACGGACUUUAGCUUCUUGUCCUCCGCCGCUGACAGGCAGUUUUUGAUGGUCUCUUCAAGCUGUUCUUCACAUUUGUCGGAGCCCCACUGAGGGAUGUGACAGUGGAUGACAAAUUUGGCUGCGAGUCCACUGGAUUGGCUGACGGCGGCUGGGACAUAGGAGAGAAAAUGCCUCGGGUUAUUUCCUAAGGUUUCCUAGGUUAUAGCCUAACCUCAUCAGGUACCUGUUAGAUCUGGAGAUAAGGCAGUGAUAGAGACGUUGGCUGGGCAGCAUCCUGUGCUCCUGAUGUGGACUAUGUUUAACGAGAGCAAGAGCUGGGCUGGAUCGCUUUGCACAGUUAGCACAAGCUUUGGGUAGAAGCGUUUAAUGCUGCUCUGAUGCGCCAUUUUCAUAUGGUCUGCCAAGUAGUCCCUGGGUUGGGCUACCUCCUCACAAUGGUUCCUAGCUAAAGGGACACGUCAGAUCCUCUCUGGUGGCUGUGGUAGGUAAAGUAAUGGCAUCCCAAAACAUCCACGUCCUCCUCCCUGGAACCUGUGGGUGUUCCCGUACAUGGCAAAAAGGACUUUGCAGAUGUGAUUAAGUGAAGGCUCUUGAGAUGGGGAGAUGAUCCUGGACUGUCUGGGUGAGCCUGGGACCUGAUAAGAGGGAGGCAAGGAGGUCAAAGGCAGGAGAAGGCCGUGGGAUGAAGGAGACAGAGAUUGGAACGAUGCAGCCAGGAGCCAAGGAAUGUUGCAGCUUAGAAGCUGGAAAAGGCCAAGUGGAACCCCUGGGAGAUGACAGGACACCACCUCUGACCCCACAGAAACCCUGUCGGUGUGCACCAGUGCAUCCAGCUCUCAUGUCUCUGAGAUGACAUGGGUGUUUUGUGCAGACUGGGAUGACGGCAGCUUUGGGGCAGCAGAGGAGGCAUUUUUCAGAUGUUUUCAUCUUUGAAUGAACUUGGUGAUCUGGAUGUCUGCGGCAAGUCUCAGCUCUCUCUUUAUGAAUCAUCAUUAUUAUUAUGGUUCAGUUCAUGGUCUUCCCCAGGGCCUGGGUGCUGAUGCUUCCCCACUCCACACUCGAGCCUCAAGUAUAUGUGGACAGCCACAGUACACUGUGCAGCUGGUUUAGGACAAGUGUCUAUUCCAGUGGUCACUGUCCACUGGGGGAGGGCGUGCAGAGGGGUUUUCUUUGUUAAUGUUCUUGGGUUUCCAUGAUGCAACUGAGAAAUGGUGAUUGUGCAUUAUACCCAGUACCUCUGAGACUCCUUUCUGGCCCCCAGAUCCCUGGACACUGUUGAUCUAUUGGGUCCAGAAGCCUGGAGAAGGCCGGGUAACUGAAGCUGGUAGCCAGUUCAUGUUGAGAAGCAGAGGACUAGGUCUACACUGGCGCCCUCUGCAUUCAGGUCAAGGGCCAAAUGGGAAUGUGCAGAAGGCAAGGGGAAUCCACCCUCCUCACUGAAGCCUUUUAAGAAAAAAGCAUCCUGGAGAGAGGUAGUUUCUCUCUACAGAAGCAUUCCCAAGAAGGAAAGGAGCAAUGCUAGAAUGAGAAUACCACAGCUUUGCAACUCCUAACAAAUGGCGGAAUCUAGAGAAGAGGCAUCAAUGGCCACCAGCAUCACACCAAUACAGACAACCAGGCACGACGCGCCUCCUCGGGCACGAGCGCUCCCCGCUGACCAAGGAGUCUUGGCAAAGUUUUCGAACCUACACCUCAUGAAACCUCUAGAUCCAACCACCAAGUUAUAAAAAAGCAAAG